UAAGGCCCUCGCUCAGCCAGGAGGCCGUGGCUGUCUGGGUAGUGAGGCAGAAACCUCCAGGCACGGCCUCACCAGCGAGCUCAGAAACUGGUCCUGCAGGGCCAGCUGCCCGGCCAGCAGCCUCAGCCAGACUCACCAAGCCAAGGCCCAAGCCCAGACACAUGGAGGUCCCUGCUCCUCGUCACGGGACAGCUUGUCACGAAGCCAGGAGAGCUGCUGCCAGAGCUUCAGAGGCUCUUGUGCUUUUCUUCUGAGAGCCCUUAGAUGUGGUGGAGGAGCCGUUGCCAGCAACUCUGAGACCUGGGAAGAGGCUGGAGACUCCAGGCAGCCAAGGGAGAGGCUUCCUAAAGUCGAUGCGAGAGCCUGGCAGGCUGACUGGUGGAAUAAGCUCAGGCCCAGUGGAGGUGACAGGAAGUCUCAAUGGACAGCCCUUUCCGGAUGGGAGGCCCACCCAGGAGACAGGGCCAAGUCCCCAGAGCUCCUGUCAGAAUGGGAGGCACUGCUGCAGCUGGGAGAGGGAAGGACAACUCACGGAGUAGAAACCACUGCUCUUGGGGACUCCAGGACUGACAACAACGGCCUCCCCCCUGCACCCUUCUGGUUCCCAAGCCUUCAGAUUCUCCCUGAGUUACACCAUGGGCCUUCUUGUUUCUCUAGUUUAUAGAUGGCAGAUUUGGGGACCUAGUAGCUCUGUGUCUCUGGAGAACCCCA
rnacentral:lncRNA from 1 species